CAGUCGCCGCGGAAUACGUAGGUGGCGAGCAUUGUCCGGAACCAUUGGGCGUAAAGGGAGCGCAGGCGGGCAUGUAAGUCUUUCUUAAAAGUUCGGGGCUCAACCCCGUGAUGGGAAAGAAACUACAUGUCUUGAGUACAGGAGAGGAAAGCGGAAUUCCCAGUGUAGCGGUGAAAUGCGUAGAUAUUGGGAGGAACACCAGUGGCGAAGGCGGCUUUCUGGACUGCAACUGACGCUGAGGCUCGAAAGCCAGGGGAGCGAACGGGAUUAGAUACCCCCGUAGUCCCUGUCUCUUAUACAC
rnacentral:rRNA from 1 species